rnacentral:rRNA from 1 species
GACGAACGCUGGCGGCGUGCUUAACACAUGCAAGUCGAGCGGAAAGGCCCUUUGGGGUACUCGAGCGGCGAACGGGUGAGUAACACGUGAGCAACCUGCCCUAGGCUUUGGGAUAACCCUCGGAAACGGGGGCUAAUACCGGAUAGGACCUCCUGCCGCAUGGUGGGGGGUGGAAAGUUUUUCGGCUUGGGAUGGGCUCGCGGCCUAUCAGCUUGUUGGUGGGGUGAUGGCCUACCAAGGCGGUGACGGGUAGCCGGCCUGAGAGGGCGACCGGCCACGCUGGGACUGAGACACGGCCCAGACUCCUACGGGAGGCAGCAGUGGGGAAUAUUGCACAAUGGGCGGAAGCCUGAUGCAGCGACGCCGCGUGAGGGAUGACGGCUUUCGGGUUGUAAACCUCUUUCAGUAGGGAAGAAGCCACGGGUAACCGUGGUGACGGUACCUGCAGAAGAAGCCCCGGCUAACUACGUGCCAGCAGCCGCAGUAACAC